UUUUUAUUUGAUGCUCACUUUUUAUUUGAUGGACACUUUUUAUUUGAUCGUCACUUCUUCUUUGAUGGUCACUGUACAUUUGAUCAUCGCUUUUCAUUUGAUCAUCACAAUUUCAGUUGAUGGUUUCGGCAUUCCAUACAUGGUCGAUUUAUAUUUGAUGGUCACUUUUCAUUUGAUCGUCGCUUUUUAUUUGAUCGUCACUUUUCAUUUGGUCGUCGCUUUUCAGAGUACGUGCGCAUAAACGUGUCGCAGUGAGCACUGAGCAGAUCCAUGGAUAAAAUAGCGCAGCUUGGUAUCAGUUGAACGCGCGCGUGCUGCUCGAUGUGCUACCAUAUGUAUAUGCUGUGUACACUUCGAACCAUAGACAAAUAAAUACGUAUAGACUGAAAGGUAGCACCCGCGGAAAAGCCUCAUUUAAAUAACAUUUGCAUAUAACGUACAGAUACUCCAUAGAAGCUCCAUGGUGAUAAGCGUAUUUUUUACCACUUUCGGCCACACCCCCUGGGAGACAUUUGAACCGAAUCCUAAGCCCCAUUUGCAUAUUGCUAAUGAAUCAUUUAUUUUUUCUUUGCGUACUCGCAAGAUACUGUGAUUUGAUUGGACCUUACCUUAUGAAUAAUGUAUUUUUCUAUUGAAAUUCGUACGUCAUAAUUUGACCCCAUCGUCACUUCCGCUUAAUUAAAGGCUGAAAGAUGACGUCACCCGCACAGAAGAAGAUUAUAUCCUUGAAAGAUUUUCGACAUAGAACAUGAUGCUGCUUCACAUCCUCUUUUAGAGACUCGAGGAUUACAAGACCGAAUUAAGCUGCAGGACCCUCCUGAUUCAUAAAGAUAUGGAACAUGACUCUGCUUCACAUCCUCUGUUUUAGAGACUCAAGAAAUACAAGACCAAAUUAAGGGUUUGCUUUUUAAUUCCAAUAAUAAUUUUCUGGAGGAAGAA